AACAGGAACCGAAUGAUAUCAUCUCCCCACCGCCACCGCUCAAAUUAGGUAGAAAAGUUACUCUGUAUUCAAAGCAAUUCAAUUCCUUCUCUCAUUCUUUCCGUUGGCGGUCUUUCGAUGCGGUGGUCUAAUCCCGAAGCAAGGCAAGAAGUAGCUGUGUUUGGAGAUACUGUUGCUCAAACAUGUGUCGCAAUAAACUGCACCCACUACCGAGAUUCGAGCGACCGACGCUGGGGUUUCAGCUGUAAGGCCAAACAAGUUAGCAAAGAAAGAUAGUAAAAAAAGGAGGAGAGAAAUGGUUGGAUCCAUAAGAAAGACUGAAGGAGGGAGGAGGUUGAGCAUCAAUGGGUAAGUCCUUAAAAUUUUGAAGCGUUUGUUUGCUAUAUACUGUUUGCAUAUAACGUGCCCGUGAGUUCUUGGUGUUAGACCAACUGUAAUGAGAAAAGAGAAAAUGAUUAUUGUAUUCACUACAAACAAAGACAUGUGAAGAAGGUUUUUGGCUGAAUGUGGGGGCAAGCGUAAAAGGAAAGGGGUUUGUAGUUUAAGUCUUUUUAGGCAGAUUCGGAGAUAAAUGGGAUUGAUUAAAAGGGUGUUUGAUUUCCUAGAUCUGGAAAGAUGUUAUGAACAAGCCUUUCUUGUUUCUACCAGAUGUUAUGAACAAGCCUUUCUUGUUUCUACCGACUGUCCAAUAAAUGGAACUUCCAUUGUCUUUAGCACCCAAGAAAGGCCGUGAAAAAAGAAGAAGAAAUGUGGAGCCUUGUUAGGCAAUUUCAUAGACUUCAUUAGGAACUGCAGUGAAUAAAAUAAAAGCUCCGGUUGAUUAGGAAAA